ACCGGGAUGGCUGAGUGGUUAAGGUGUUAGACUUAAAUUCCAAUGGCUGUAUAGCCACGUGGGUUUGAACCCCACUCCUGGUG